AUUGAACGCUGGCGGCAGGCUUAACACAUGCAAGUCGAGCGGAGCGAGGGUGCUUGCACCUUAGCUUAGCGGCGGACGGGUGAGUAAUGCUUAGGAAUCUGCCUAUUAGUGGGGGACAACAUUCCGAAAGGGAUGCUAAUACCGCAUACGCCCUACGGGGGAAAGCAGGGGAUCUUCGGACCUUGCGCUAAUAGAUGAGCCUAAGUCGGAUUAGCUAGUUGGUGGGGUAAAGGCCUACCAAGGCGACGAUCUGUAGCGGGUCUGAGAGGAUGAUCCGCCACACUGGGACUGAGACACGGCCCAGACUCCUGCGGGAGGCAGCAGUGGGGAAUAUUGGACAAUGGGGGGAACCCUGAUCCAGCCAUGCCGCGUGUGUGAAGAAGGCCUUUUGGUUGUAAAGCACUUUAAGCGAGGAGGAGGCGCUCUAGGCUAAUACCCUAGAUGCGUGGACGUUACUCGCAGAAUAAGCACCGGCUAACUCUGUGCCAGCAGCCGCAGUAACAC
rnacentral:rRNA from 1 species